rnacentral:rRNA from 1 species
GACGAACGCUGGCGGCGUGCUUAACACAUGCAAGUCGAACGGAAAGGCCCUGCUUUUGUGGGGUGCUCGAGUGGCGAACGGGUGAGUAACACGUGAGUAACCUGCCCUUGACUUUGGGAUAGCUUCAGGAAACUGGGGCUAAUACCGGAUAGGAGCUCCUGCUGCAUGGUGGGGGUUGGAAAGUUUCGGCGGUUGGGGAUGGACUCGCGGCUUAUCAGCUUGUUGGUGGGGUAGUGGCUUACCAAGGCUUUGACGGGUAGCCGGCCUGAGAGGGUGACCGGCCACAUUGGGACUGAGAUACGGCCCAGACUCCUACGGGAGGCAGCAGUGGGGAAUAUUGCACAAUGGGCGGAAGCCUGAUGCAGCAACGCCGCGUGCGGGAUGACGGCCUUCGGGUUGUAAACCGCUUCCGCCUGUGACGAAGCGUGAGUGACGGUAAUGGGUAAAGAAGCACCGGCUAACUACGUG